CCUACGGGUGGCAGCAGUAGGGAAUAUUGCUCAAUGGGGGAAACCCUGAAGCAGCAACGCCGCGUGGAGGAUGAAGGUUUUCGGAUUGUAAACUCCUUUUGUUAGAGAAGAUAAUGACGGUAUCUAACGAAUAAGCACCGGCUCAAUCCGUGCCAGCAGCCGCGGUAAUACGGAGGGUGCAAGCGUUACUCGGAAUCACUGGGCGUAAAGAGCGCGUAGGCGGGAUAGCAAGUCAGAUGUGAAAUCCUAUGGCUUAACCAUAGAACUGCCUUUGAAACUGGUAUUCUAGAGUAUGGGAGAGGUAGGUGGAAUUCUUGGUGUAGGGGUAAAAUGCGUAGAGAUCAAGAGGAAUACUCAUUGCGAAGGCGACCUGCUAGAACAUAACUGACGCUGAUGCGCGAAAGCGUGGGGAGCAAACAGGAUUAGAUACCCCAGUAGUC
rnacentral:rRNA from 1 species